AAAGCCUUUCCCGGACUCUGAACUCCGAAGACUCUUGACGCCGUGGGUCUCGCCUCCUCACCAGCGCCGUCCACCGCCUCCGAAGCCUCAGUCCUUACCGGCGAUGCAGCUUCCUGUUUUGGAUGGAAAAUGGCUAGGAGUGGAGGUUGUGGCUGGUUGCUCUCCACUGUUGCUUCCAUUAUUUUGAUUUUGGAUUGAAAUUGAAAAUGAGAGACAGUGACGGUGGACUAGGUGAGUGACGAUGGCGGUGGAUUGCUCUCCAUUUUUGCUUCCGUUAUUUUGAUUUUGGAUUGAAAAUGAGAGACGGUGGCGGUGGACUGGUUGAGUGACGGUGGCGGGAUUGCUCUCCAUCAUUGCUUCCAUUAUUUUGAUUUUGGAUUGAAAUUGAAAAUGAGAGAUGGUGGCGGUGGAUUGCAUUCUUGAUGUUGUCAAUUUGUGAUUCACUGGUUUAUGAAUCUUAUGAUUUCAUCUGUUUGUCCC